UACGUAGGGGGCUAGCGUUGUCCGGAAUCAUUGGGCGUAAAGAGCGUGUAGGCGGCCCGGUAAGUCCGCUGUAAAAGUCAAAGGCUCAACCUUUGAAUGUCAGUGGAUACUGCCGGGCUAGAGUCCGGAAGAGGCGAGUGGAACUCCUGGUGUAGCGGUGGAAUGCGCAGAUAUCAGGAAGAACACCAACGGCGAAGGCAGCUCGCUGGGACGGUACUGACGCUGAGGCACGAAAGCGUGGGGAGCAAACAGG
rnacentral:rRNA from 1 species